UGAGGAAUAUUGGUCAAUGGGCUGAGGCCUGAACCAGCCAAGUCGCGUGAGGGAAGACGGUCCUAUGGAUUGUAAACCUCUUUUGUCGGGGAGCAACGACGUCACGAGUGACGGAAGUGAGAGUACCCGAAGAAAAAGCAUCGGCUAACUCCGUGCCAGCAGCCGCGGUAAUACGGAGGAUGCGAGCGUUAUCCGGAUUUAUUGGGUUUAAAGGGUGCGUAGGCGGACUGUUAAGUCAGCGGUAAAAAUUCGGGGCCCAACCCCGUCAUGCCGUUGAAACUGGCGGACUAGAGUGGGCGAGAAGUAUGCGGAAUGCGAGGUGUAGCGGUGAAAUGCAUAGAUAUCACGCAGAACUCCGAUUGCGAAGGCAGCAUACCGGCGCCCGCACUGACGCUGAGGCACGAAAGCGUGGGGAUCGAACAGGAUUAGAUACC
rnacentral:rRNA from 1 species